rnacentral:rRNA from 1 species
GACGAACGCUGGCGGCGUGCUUAACACAUGCAAGUCGAACGGAAAGGCCCUGCUUUUGUGGGGUGCUCGAGUGGCGAACGCGUGAGUAACACGUGAGUAACCUGCCCUUGACUUUCGGAUAACUUCAGGAAACUGGGGCUAAUACCGGAUAUGAGCUCCUGCUGCAUGGUGGGGGUUGGAAAGUUUCGGCGGUUGGGGAUGGACUCGCGGCUUAUCAGCUUGUUGGUGGGGUAGUGGCUUACCAAGGCGUUGACGGGUAGCCGGCCUGAGAGGGUGACCGGCCACAUUGGGACUGAGAUACGGCCCAGACUCCUACGGGAGGCAGCAGUGGGGAAUAUUGCACAAUGGGCGGAAGCCUGAUGCAGCAACGCCGCGUGCGGGAUGACGGCCUUCGGGUUGUAAACCGCUUUCGCCUGUGACGAAGCGUGAGUGACGGUAAUGGGUAAAGAAGCACCGGCUAACUACGUG